UACGAAGGGGACUAGCGUUGUUCGGAAUUACUGGGCGUAAAGCGCACGUAGGCGGAUUUGUUAGUCAGGGGUGAAAUCCCUCGGCUCAACCAAGGAAGUGCAUCCGAAACUGCAGUACUUGAGUACGAAAGAGGAUCGCGGAAUUCCCGGUGUAGAGGUGAAAUUCGUAGAUAUCGGGAGGAACACCAGUGGCGAAGGCGGCGAUCUGGGUCGAUACUGACGCUGAGGUGCGAAAGCGUGGGGAGCAAACAGG
rnacentral:rRNA from 1 species